GUAACAAGGUCUCCGUUGGUGAACCAGCGGAGGGAUCAUUACAGAGUUAUACAACUCCCAUACCAUCUGUUAACCUACCCAGUUAUGCCUCGGCGUAAGCUCGGUUGGAGGCACCUGCAGCUACCCUGUAGUUGCGGACUGCCAACUCCAGCCGCGGCCCGCCGGCGGUACACUAAACUCUGUUUUAUUUUAUAUUCUGAGCGUCUUAUUUUAAUAAGUUAAAACUUUCAACAACGGAUCUCUUGGUUCUGGCAUCGAUGAAGAACGCAGCGAAAUGCGAUAAGUAAUGUGAAUUGCAGAAUUCAGUGAAUCAUCGAAUCUUUGAACGCACAUUGCGCCCAUCAGUAUUCUGGUGGGCAUGCCUGUUCGAGCGUCAUUUCAACCCUUAAGCCUAGCUUAGUGUUGGGAAUCUGCUGUACUGCAGUUCCUUAAAGACAGUGGCGGAGCGGCGGUAGUCCUCUGAGCGUAGUAAUUUAUUUCUCGCUUUUGUCAGGCUCUGUCCUCCCGCCAUAAAACCCCCAAUUUUUUAGUGGUUGACCUCGGAUCAGGUAGGAAUACCCGCUGAACCUAAGCAUAUCA
rnacentral:misc_RNA from 1 species